rfam:Pseudomonas batumici strain TCM B-321 Contig_8, whole genome shotgun sequence.
AAAACUGUUACCCGAGGAUUUUCACGUAACAAAAGCCGGGUCUAUCGGUAACGAGGAUCCG